AGGAUGGUUACUGGACGAUAUGGUUGAGAUAUGGAAAUGAGUACGAAGCUCUUGCUGACCCUCCAGUCCUUCUCUCUCUGAAGUCUCCUCCUCAGAAGGUGGGGGUGUUUGUGGACUAUGAGGAGGAAUACAGUGCCUUCCUUUUUCUUUGGGUCUCAUCAUGAUCUUGUUCAUCUCGUCCCUUCCCAAGGGAAAGCUUUGUCUGAAGUAGUCUCUUCAUUUCAGAUUGUCUCAGUGAAGACAUUAAACACAACUCAGUUGAUCUAUUUAUAUAGUACCAGCGUAUGGUUACAUUAAAGGUUACUGUUCUCUCAUAAUGUUAAGAUAACAACAUUAAUCAUACAGGUAACCAGCUAGCACACCAUAUAAGGUAACGUUAACAUUCAUCCAAGUGAAACUAGCUAACAUUACAUUAAUAUUGGAUGGCAUCAACGGCCACUGCACUGUUUAUAUGCAGCGCGACAGCGAGGGAGCUUUUUGUCAGAUGUCUGGAGAUAAAUAGCAUUGAAAAGUAAAUUUCUACUAGUUAUAUACACUAAUUUGUCUGUUAAGUACCUGCUGUAGUCACUAGAAAGAAAAGCUGUUUUGCGGGCGCUGACUGGC